CAGCCCCCCGAGCCUGGUGCCCCCCAAGCCCAGCAACCCAGGUGGUCACAUGGGUUGCCUGCCCCUAACUCCGGUCCUGAGCAAGUCCUCACACAGCACUGAGCACAACCCAUAUGUCUAAUAUGACAGAUUCUUUCUGAGACUCGGAAACUUUCAGAUAGCUGGUCAAAUAAGACUCUGAAAUAUAAAUGGGAACCAAGAGCCAGUGUCUUAGAAACCUAGCAGCCAUAUGGAGACAGAGCUGUGAGACAGCAGUAAGCCCUCAGAGUCCCCUCAGCACAUGGUAUGGAGUCACUGAAUAAUGCUCCUAAAGUUCUCCUGGUGGAACAAUGUGAAGAGAUCAAAGAGAGACUAAGGAACAUGAUGGCAACAAGAAAGAGAAGGGCCCAGGGAACUGUUCUGUCACAGGAGGCAGAAAAAGGGAAAUAAAUUAAAUCAGACAGCUCCGGAGACAAAAACAAAAUGAAAAGCUGGGGUGUUUGGGCUUAGGAAACGUAGUAGAGCUUUUGAUCAUGCAAUGUACUGAGCACCUUCUGUGAGGUCCAAGUGCCCUCAACCCCAGCUAUGCCCUGAUUGUCAGCAAAGCAAUUAAUUUUAAGCACAUGCUUACUUCCAGUGCAGUCAGUGGAACUGAACUAUGUGUUUUGCUGAAGCAGGGCCUGAAGUGGGAGCUAAGAUUCUCAGCACCUCGUAGGACCUGGCGCAAAGAUACCAACAUCAUCAUCGUCCAUGCUUUUCCUGACGUGUCUGGAAUGUUCUUCCAGGUUUGCAGCCACUGAGCUCAGAACUGAAGCGAUGACUUGACCCCAGAAUCCAACUUGGCCGGAAUAUUUGGCGAGACAUAUAAGUUCUGCAGAGUGAAUAUCUGGAGAGCUGAGAUUCCAGAUGCAGCAGAAGGGAAAAACCCAACAGGUUCUUUCAGUGCUGAAAGUAAGAGACUAAAUUAAAAAGUGGUCCAAGGGCAUAAAACACUUAUUUCCUUCCUGGAGAAUACAGAAAAGCGGGAGAUGAGGGAUACAAUGAGACCGUAUAAACUCACCGACAAUCAAACACGCAGAAGCAGUCAAUGAGGCAAACCAGAAGGGGUGCAAAGGGAAGUGGUUUAUUCAUCCCAAGGUUUCUCAUUUCAUUUUCAGAAGGAGAAAAUUAUUCUUCCCAGCCAUGCAACAGCUGAGCUGAAGGCGUGAGGUCCAUGAUGUGCUGUUUACCCGGCACGAAAGAAAGAAUUUCCAGUGGAAAGAUGGAGGAGAAGAAAGCUUCAAAUGACUGCAGUGGGUUAAAGAUUGAGAGAGAGAGAUGCAAUAAAGAUCCCAUCUCCUGUGUGUCUGUCUUCCUGAGAACUCAUGGCAACAACCGGAGCAAACGCAACGACCGUUCACUGCAGCUGCCCACCACCACCCAUCAAAGUCCAUCCUCGCAAGGGGUUUGACCACAUCACAGUAAACGACAAGAGCAGACAGCCGUAUGCUUGGCUGCCACACUGUGGCAUCACUGCUGUGCAGAGUGCGACAGGAAAGUAUCUGCUGCAGUGCGGAGCGCUCUGACAGGCUGCAUUAGAAAGGAUACU